rnacentral:lncRNA from 1 species
ACUUUACAAAAGAGAUGUGUCAUUAUUGGAGGAUUCCACGACAAAACAUUUUAAAUGAACCAAUCAUACACGGUGCUAGACCAACUCAACAUUAUACGGCAUGGUUUAAAUCGGUUACAACGCCACAAUUUGUGUCUAAGCCAAGGUAUUUGAUUGAUCCACGCCAACGAGCUUCGUCAUCAAACUCCUAACAACAAAUCCCCGCCCAAGAACAAUGUCAACCCACUCAAACCCAACGACCAACCUCACACCAUCACCCUACC